GUUCAAUUAGUUUAUUCAAAAUAUGACUUUGAAGAGGUUAUGACGGAUUUCUUUCCAUUGAACA
rnacentral:tRNA from 1 species